UUUUUUAACGGCCGCGGUACUCUGACCGUGCAAAGGUAGCGUAAUCAUUUGCCUUAUAAUUGAAGGCUAGAAUGAAUGGUUUGACAAGAAUACAACUGUCUCUUUACAAUUACAUAAAAUUUUAUCUGCAGUUGAAGAAGCCUGCAUUUGAAUAAAAGACAAGAAGACCCUAUCGAGCUUAAAAAAAACUGGUGGAAUAACAAACUAAUCCUAACUUAUAAAUAAAUAAAUAGUCAACUACUGGAAAUUUUGGUUGGGGCGACCGGGGAACAAAAAAAACUUCCUUUAUAAAAAUUUAGAUGCCCAAAUAUUGAUCCAGCAUUAUUUGAUUAAAGAAAUUAGUUACCGUAGGGAUAACAGCAUUAUCUUUUUUAAGAGUUCUUAUCGAAAAUUGUUUGUGACCUCGAUGUUGGACCAGAAUAUCCUAAAGAUGCAGCC
rnacentral:rRNA from 1 species